CUCAUUGUUCCGGAACUUUCGAAAUUUCUAAGUUGUAGAGUACUAUAUUAUUAUCUUUAUCUUAUUUUAAUCAAUUUAAUAUCGUCACUAGUUUUCGCACUCUUCUUAUUUAAGCCACCUCGCAUCGCUUACGUGGGGAUUAGCUUCCUUCCUUUCCCUCUUCUCUACCCAACUGCCAUCAACGAACUUAAACGGGCCAGUCGCACCACAAGAUUCAUUCUCGUCUAAAUUUCAUCAAACCAACCCAAGUCGUUGAUCCAAGAUUGUUGUCUGUUUUUCUUUUUAAUCUUCAAUUUGGGUUUCGAGAACUUGAUGAAUCCGUUUCAGCUCCAAGAAGGUGAUCCACCACCAAAACCAGUCGAAGGAUUACACGAGAUUGGACCGCCACCGUUUCUAAUCAAGACAUUCGAGAUUGUGGAGGAUCCAAACACAGACCACAUCGUAUCUUGGAACAGAGGAGAGCUUGCAAAUACCUAAAAUCAAAAGCCGCCGCUUCUCUGUUUUUCAAAUUUUUCUUCCCCACCAUGUCUGGAAACAGCUCGCCGGCUUCCCACUCUGAGACUAUCAUUGUCUCUGCAAACCCAACUCUCCUCAAUAUCAACAUGACAAACGUAACCAAACUCACCGGAUCCAAUUUUCUGAUGUGGAGUCGACAGGUUCAUGCUUUACUUGAUGGUUAUGACCUAGCCGGCUACAUCGAAGGCUCUGUUGUCGUUCCUCCACCUACGAUCACUACUGAUGCUGCAGUAACCACGAACCCGGAUUACACCCUCUGGAAAAGGCAAGAUCGUCUGAUAUUCAGUGGCUUGCUUGGUGCUAUCACAACCACGAUCCAACCGAUUCUGUCCACGGCAUCGACUGCUUCUGAGAUCUGGACAAUCCUUACAAGUACCUAUGCUAAACCAAGCCGUGCUCACUUCAAACAGAUCCGCCAGCAGAUUCAGAGUUGGAAGAAAGGUGGGAAAUCAAUCAACGAGUUCUUUCAAGGUCUUACCACCCGAUUUGAUGAACUCGCUCUACUUGGCAAAGCUAUGGAUCAUGAAGAUCAAAUCGAGGCUAUUCUUGAUGGACUUCCCGAGGAGUACAAGACCAUUGCUGAUCAGAUAGAUGGCCGUGAGACUCCUCCUUCCUUGCCAGAGAUUCAUGAGAAACUUCUUAAUCAAGAAGCCAAAUUGCAGGUUGCUACACCUCCGCCAAGCAGCACUCCUGUCUCUGCCAACUUCACCAACUAUCGUGGCUCUUCAAGCAACAACCGUUCCGGUCCUCAACGACGUGGAGGUUACCGCGGGAACCAAACAUGGCAGCAGCAACAAAUGAUCCCUUCUUCUCAGCCGAACAACAACAGCAACAACACUGGCUCGCGUGGGUACCACGGAAAGUGCCAAAUUUGCAGUGUCUUUGGUCAUAGUGCGCGCCGUUGUCCCCAGCUCCAUGGAAGCAGUGCUCUCUCCUCCACUCCGUCCUCAAAUGGGACUAAUCCUCUCUCCUGGCAGCCUCGCGCAAACGUUGCACACACUGCACUCUAUAACCCGAAUGCUUGGCUUCUAGACAGUGGUGCCACACACCAUCUAACCUCGGACCUGAACAACUUAGCUCUACACCAGCCGUAUGCAGGAGGUGAUGAAGUAGCUAUUGCAGACGGUACAGGUGAAGGAUCUCAGCUCGGGGGUCCGGUUGCUCCAAGGCCGCACGAAGGGGGUCCUGUAUAUAUACUUUCACGUAUUCAAUAAUAAUACUUAUUCCUAGUUUUGUCGUUUGGGAUUUGCAUUCUUUCUCAACGUUUCUUCUCCCUCGACACUUCAAACACAGCAAUUUCUCAAGUUUCAUCAGACAGCUUAACACUUAUAAACAUCGAAAAUGAAGAUUCUGUAGAGUAGAAGAAGGUUCUUUAGCAAGUUCUAGAAUCUUGUUUCGUGUCAACUUGUCUUCUAAAACAAUUAGGUUUCAGAAAAAUAGAAGCAGAAAGGUGGGAAUUUGCAAACGAUGGGUUCUUGUUAGGACAGAGACAGUUAUUGAAGUUCAUCAAGAGACGAGCUUCCUUCGGUUCAUCG